CUACAUUGUAUUGUAUGGAACUGUCCUCUACAUUAUAUUGUAUGGAAUUGUCCUCUAUAUUAUAUUGUAUGUAACAGAAACAACGAAUUAUGCACAUAUUUAUAAAACAAAUACACAAACAUUGCAAAUUAAUAUGCCUAUGCUUUAUGUUAGAUAUGUAUUAAAGUGUUGAUCAGUCUCUUUUUUAAAUUUUUUACUAACAAACUAAACCAAACAAUUGUCACAAGGUGCGGUUCUGCCGGCUGACCACACACAAAUCGUCAAUGUGAGGAGCUAUAUUGCAUUGUGAGGAAGGUCUUGUAAUAGUCUGGCAGUCCAGAAGAUGUCCCUGCACACCUAAUAAUAUCUAUUUUUUUUACAAUGUAUCUUUAUAAACAAAUGAACAUACUUUACAUCACUGAAAAUGCCCUUCAUAAAUAAACUGCCGUCAUUGCCAGCAAGACAUUAGCUACAUGUUCAUAUUCAAUAUACAGUUGACUGGAUCUCAAUGAAGACGCAAACUUUGGGUCUAAGGUAAACAUUUCUCUUCAUCUGGCGAAACCUCAACACUUUGACCUCCAUUGAAGGCGUGACGUUGUCAGAGAGAUAGUUAGAUAUGAAAUGGAAAGGAGGCAGCGAUCUAAAUUACUUCAGUGUCACAAAGUCAUCUACCUAGUUGUCGCAUGCUGCCGAAGGCUAAGGAUAGUCCUUCAAAAGUCAAGAUCACACAUCAGCACUCCCGGUGCCGACCUCGAUUUGUCUAGGACAUUUUACAACUGACACCCAUCAAUACUGAACUCUUAUGAAAAUGAACGGUGGCAAAAAGAAGCUGCAGGCCCAGACGGCAUCCACAGCCGCGCCCUCAGAGCAUGCGCAGACCAGCUGGCCGGUGUGUUUACGGACAUAUUCAAUCAAUCCCUAUACCAGUCUGCUGUUCCCACAUGCUUCAAGAGGGCCACCAUUGUUCCUGUUCCCAAGAAAGCUAUGGUAACUGAGCUAAACGACUACCGCCCCGUAGCACUCACAUCCGUCAUCAUGAAGUGCUUUGAGAGACUAGUCAAGGACCAUAUCACCUCCACCCUACCUGACACCCUAGACCCACUCCAAUUUGCUUACCGCCCAAAUAGGUCCACAGACGAUGCAAUCUCAACCACACUGCACACUGCCCUAACCCAUCUGGACAAGAGGAAUACCUAUGUGACAAUGCUGUUCAUCGACUACAGCUCGGCAUUCAACACCAUAGUACCCUCCAAGCUCGUCAUCAAGCUCGAGACCCUGGGUCUCGACCCCGCCCUGCGCAACUGGGUACUGGACUUCCUGACGGGCCGCCCCCGGUGGUGAGGGUAGGCAACAACAUCUCCACCCCGCUGAUCCUCAACACUGGGGCCCCACAAGGGUGCGUUCUGAGCCCUCUCCUGUACUCCCUGUUCACCCAUGACUGCGUGGCCACGCACGCCUCCAACUCAAUCAUCAAGUUUGCGGACGACACAACAGUGGUAGGCUUGAUUACCAACAACGACGAGACGGCCUACAGGGAGGAGGUGAGGGCCCUCGGAGUGUGGUGUCAGGAAAAUAACCUCACACUCAACGUCAACAAAACUAAGGAGAUGAUUGUGGACUUCAGGAAACAGCAGAGGGAACACCCCCCUAUCCACAUCGAUGGAACAGUAGUGGAGAGGGUAGCAAGUUUUAAGUUCCUCGGCAUACACAUCACAGACAAACUGAAUUGGUCCACUCACACAGACAGCAUCGUGAAGAAGGGGCAGCAGCGUCUCUUCAACCUCAGGAGGCUGAAGAAAUUCGGCUUGUCAUCAAAAGCACUCACAAACUUCUACAGAUGCACAAUCGAGAGCAUCCUGGCGGGCUGUAUCACCGCCUGGUACGGCAACUGCUCCGCCCACAACCGUAAGGCUCCCCAGAGGGUAGUGAGGUCUGCACAACGCAUCACCGGGGCAAACUACCUGCCCUCCGGGACAACUACACCACCCAAUGUUACAGGAAGGCCAUAAAGAUCAUCAAGGACAUCAACCACCCGAGCCACUGCCUGUUCACCCCGCUAUCAUCCAGAAGGCAAGGUCAGUACAGAGCUGCAUCAAAGCUGGGACCGAGAGACUGAAAAACAGCUUCUAUCUCAAGGCCAUCAGACUGUUAAACAGCCACCACUAACAUUGAGUGGCUGCUGCCAACACACUGACACUGACACUGACUCAACUCCAGCCACUUUAAUAAUGGGAAUUAAUGGGAAAUGAUGUAAAUAUAUCACUAGCCACUUUAAACAAUGCUACCUUAUAUAAUGUUACUUACCCUACAUUAUUCAUCUCAUAUGCAUACGUAUAUACUGUACUCUAUAUCAUCGACUGCAUCCUUAUGUAAUACAUGUAUCACUAGCCACUUUAACUAUGCCACUUUGUUUACAUACUCAUCUCAUAUGUAUAUACUGUACUCGAUACUAUCUACUGUAUCUUGCCUAUGCUGCUCUGUACCAUCACUCACUCAUAUAUCUUUAUGUACAUAUUCUUUAUCCCCUUACACUGUGUAUAAGACA
ensembl:lncRNA